rnacentral:rRNA from 1 species
AUUGAACGCUGGCGGCAGGCCUAACACAUGCAAGUCGAACGAGUGGCGGACGGGUGAGUAAUGUCUGGGAAACUGCCUGAUGGAGGGGGAUAACUACUGGAAACGGUAGCUAAUACCGCAUACCAUCGGAUGUGCCCAGAUGGGCUUAGCUAUGAGGUGGGGUAAGGGCUCACCUAGGCGACGAUCCCUAGCUGGUCUGAGAGGAUGACCGGCCACACUGGAACUUAUACACGGUCCAGACUCCUACGGGAGGCAGCGGUGGGAAAUAUUGGACAAUGGGCGAAAGCCUAAUGCAGACAUGCCGCGUGUAUGAAGAGGGCCUUCGGGUUGUAAAGUACUUUCAGCGGGGAGACGUUACCCGCAGAAGAAGCACCGGCUAACUCCGUGCCAGCAGCCGCGGUAAUAC